rnacentral:rRNA from 1 species
CUUACCUACCCUUGACAUGUAUGGAAGCCCGCUGAGAGGUGGAUGUGCCCGAAAGGGAGCCAUAACACAGGUGCUGCAUGGCUGUCGUCAGCUCGUGUCGUGAGAUGUUGGGUUAAGUCCCGCAACGAGCGCAACCCUUGUCCCUAGUUGCUACGCAAGAGCACUCCAGGGAGACUGCCGGUGACAAACCGGAGGAAGGUGGGGAUGACGUCAAGUCCUCAUGGCCCUUAUGGGUAGGGCUUCACACGUCAUACAAUGGUCGGAACAGAGGGUUGCCAAGCCGCGAGGUGGAGCCAAUCCCAGAAAACCGAUCGUAGUCCGGAUCGCAGUCUGCAACUCGACUGCGUGAAGCUGGAAUCGCUAGUAAUCGCGGAUCAGCAUGCC